GUAAUUCUUUGUGCCCGUACUUGUGACCAUUGCUGUAAUUGCAGGUUCUGACGAUGGCCGACGCAGAUAACGUGAUGUCCGAUGCCCCCACCGAGGCCCCAGUUGCGGAGCAGACUGCGCCUGGAGAGCCCAUGGACAUCCUCACUGGUCUACAGAUGGUGUUGAAGAAGGCCUUGGCGCACGAUGGGCUUGCGAAGGGGCUUCACGAGAGCGCUAAGGCGAUCGAGAAGCACGCCGCUCAGUUGUGUGUGCUAGCAGAGGAUUGCAAUCAGCCUGACUACACCAAGCUCGUGCAGGCUCUGUGUCAAGAGCACAACGUCAACCUGAUUUCCGUUCCCUCUGCUAAGAAGCUCGGAGAGUGGGCUGGUCUCUGCAAAAUUGACUCCGAGGGGAAGGCCAGAAAGGUAGUAGGAUGCUCGUGUGUGGUUGUGAAGGACUACGGUGAGGAGACUGAGGGGCUUAACGUUGUG
rnacentral:lncRNA from 1 species